rnacentral:tRNA from 1 species
GGUCUCAUGGCCUAAUGGAUAAGGCGUCUCUUCGGAUGAGAAGAUUUCCAGGUUCGAAUCCUGUUGGGGUCG